rnacentral:tRNA from 1 species
GCUGUCGUAGCUCAGCCGGCAGAGCAGCGCAUUCGUAACGUGCAGGCCGCUGGUUCGAUUCCAGCCGACAGCACCA